CCCUACGGGGUGCAGCAGGCGCGAAACCUCCACAAUUCACGCAAGUGAGAUGGGGUUACCUCGAGUGCCGCCUGAAGAAGGCGGCUUUUCCAUGGUGUAAUGAGCCGUGGGAAUAAGGGGGGGGCAAGACUGGUGUCAGCCGCCGCGGUAACACCAGCCCCCCGAGUGGUGGGGAUGAUUAUUUGGCCUAAAGCGUCCGUAGCCAGCUCGGUAAAUCUCUCGUUAAAUCCAGCGUCCUAAGCGUUGGGCUGCGAGGGGAACUGCCGAGCUAGAGGGUGGGAGAGGUCAGCGGUAUUCCUGGGGUAGGGGCGAAAUCCAUUGAUCCCAGGAGGACCACCAGUGGCGAAGGCUGCUGACUAGAACACGCCUGACGGUGAGGGACGAAAGCUGGGGUAGCGAAUCGGAUUAGAUACCCGAGUAGUCCCAGCCGUAAACGAUGCAGGCUAGGUGUUGGGUCGGCCACGCGCCGCCUCAGUGCCACAGGGAAGCCAUUAAGCCUGCCGCCUGGGGAGUACGGCCGCAAGGCUGAAACUUAAAGGAAUUGGCGGGGGAGCACCACCAGGCGUGAAGCCUGCGGUUUAAUUGGAGUCAACGCCGGGAACCUUACCGGGAGCGACAGCAGAGUGAAGGCCAGGCUGAAGGUCUUGCCAGACGAGCUGAGAGGAAGUGCAUGGCC
rnacentral:rRNA from 1 species